rnacentral:rRNA from 1 species
GACGAACGCUGGCGGCGUGCCUAAUACAUGCAAGUCCAACGAGAGCGACCGGUGCUUGCACUGGUCAAUCUAGUGGCGAACGGGUGAGUAACACGUGGGUAACCUGCCCAUCAGAGGGGGAUAACAUCCGGAAACGGAUGCUAAAACCGCAUAGGUCUUCGAGCCGCAUGGCUUGAAGAGGAAAAGAGGCGCAAGCUUCUGCUGAUGGAUGGACCCGCGGUGCAUUAGCUAGUUGGUGAGGUAACGGCUCACCAAGGCCGUGAUGCAUAGCCGACCUGAGAGGGUGAUCGGCCACAUUGGGACUGAGACACGGCCCAAACUCCUACGGGAGGCAGCAGUAGGGAAUCUUCCGCAAUGGACGCAAGUCUGACGGAGCAACGCCGCGUGAGUGAAGAAGGUUUUCGGAUCGUAAAACUCUGUUGUUAGAGAAGAACAAGUGCUAGAGUAACUGUUAGCGCCUUGACGGUAUCUAACCAGAAAGCCACGGCUAACUACGUG